rnacentral:rRNA from 1 species
UACAGAGGAUGCAAGCGUUAUCCGGAAUGAUUGGGCGUAAAGCGUCUGUAGGUGGCUUUUUAAGUCCGCCGUCAAAUCCCAGGGCUCAACUCUGGACAGGCGGUGGAAACUACCAAGCUGGAGUACGGUAGGGGCAGAGGGAAUUUCCGGUGGAGCGGUGAAAUGCGUAGAUAUCAGGAGGAACACCUGUGGUGUAGACGGCUUUCUGGACCAUAGCUGACGCUGAGACACGAAAGCGUGGGUAGCAAACAGG